UCUUCAUUUCACGUGCUCUCUCACCGGUCAGAGAGGCGAGAGAGUGCGCGAAAUGAAGAGA
rfam:Pristionchus pacificus strain PS312 contig7069, whole genome shotgun sequence.